CCCGAGACCGCGACUGCCUGCCUGCCUGCCUCCCUCCCCUUGGCACAGCCUAGGUCAGGCUGGAACAAAGUGAUCUCUCACACACUGGGGCACAAGCGCAUCUGUGUGGUUGUGUGUGCUGGGGAGUGUCUCACAUGCCUCCACCCAUCUGGCAGACAGGGUUCUUUGGGUAAAUCUGAUAUAUUUUAUUAGACCAACUGAAAUAAUUGGAAAAAUACUUAUUUGCAAGCUUUUGGGUACAAACGCCCUGCUUCAGGCAGAGGAAGGAUCGCUUGUCUGCCUACGUCCUUCGACCCCCAUGGCUACAAGCAACACCCCUCCACCCAUCUGGGCUCUCAGCUAAACCAGCUGCCUGCUUUGCCUCUCCAGAAGCCGGGAAAACCCUGCUCUAAGACCGAGCCUGCAAAGCAGCUAGCAGCCCUCUCCGCUCCGCUCGGGCCAUGCAGCGAAGCGCCGGGACGCGGCUGAAGGAGCCACCCUGCAGACAGCUGCAGCAUGACGCGAGUGAGGCGCAACAGCUGCUGCAGCCCUCGCUCGCACCCCGACCUGGGGCCUGUGCAGCCAGGAAAAGGGGAGGCGCAGUAUCCGUGCAGCGGCUGCUGCGUCAGUGUGGACUGUUAAGCUGAUUUCCCACAAAGGCCCCUGGGACUUCCCUGCAGGAGCAAGUGUCUCGGAGAGGUCCUCAAGCGUGUCAUCGAGACCAGCUGCUCUGCCUGGGAAGCAGAGCAGGGCGGAGAUGGCGGGAAGUCCCAGAUCACACCAGAAGGCCUCUCAAGUGCAGAGCGAGCUGAAAGAGCACCGGCAAUGUGCUGUUGUGGCAGCCGCCCUCUGAUUUCAAACAGGCCUUGCCAUCCCAAAGCCAGCCCCUGUAAAGCGAGGCUUUUCUCCAGCGGCUGUGAAGUGAAGCAGUGAGGCCCCCUGAGCCCCUUGGAAGAAUCGUGUGACGAGCCCGGCUGCCUCGCUGGAUCGGGACGAAGUGCGCUCGCGUGCCCCCGUGGGUGAGUGACAUUUUACAGUCCCAGUGUGAACAGACUGGCUUCUGCCUCACAGAAGUGACAGGCCGAUGCAUCUGUCUGGGGGCCGUCGCCAGCAGCGAUCCUUCCCUCCUGAAGACCGUGAUGCAACUGAGCAGGCUGGUUCCAACCGCACACGGGAAGGGGCUUUGUCGGCACCACCGCCAUGAUCUGGAGGGCCACAGGGAUGCAUUUGCACCUUCCCGGGCUCUGCAAACCCUGGAGCCGCAGAACAGUAGCUCCUACCUGAGGCUUGGGUGUUUCCAGGGACGGGGCUAUUCCAGCAUCUCUUAGUCAAUAAAACACAUGGAAAAUGUCCUGAGUGUGGCUUGUCCUGCAAGCACAAGGCACUGAGAUCUGAGGGAGAAGGGCUGACUCUUGGGAGCAGGGUGCAGGGUGUUUC